rnacentral:rRNA from 1 species
GAUGAACGCUAGCUACAGGCUUAACACAUGCAAGUCGAGGGGCAGCAUUUUAGUUUGCUUGCAAACUAAAGAUGGCGACCGGCGCACGGGUGAGUAACACGUAUCCAACCUGCCGAUAACUCAGGGAUAGCCUUUCGAAAGAAAGAUUAAUACCUGAUGGCAUAGGAUUAUCGCAUGAUAAUCCUCUUAAAGAAUUUCGGUUAUCGAUGGGGAUGCGUUCCAUUAGGCAGUUGGUGAGGUAACGGCUCACCAAACCUUCGAUGGAUAGGGGUUCUGAGAGGAAGGUCCCCCACAUUGGAACUGAGACACGGUCCAAACUCCUACGGGAGGCAGCAGUGAGGAAUAUUGGUCAAUGGACGGGAGUCUGAACCAGCCAAGUAGCGUGAAGGAUGACUGCCCUAUGGGUUGUAAACUUCUUUUAUACGGGAAUAAAGUGAUCCACGUGUGGGUUUUUGUAUGUACCGUAUGAAUAAGGAUCGGCUAACUCCGUGCCAGCAGCCGCGGUAAUACGGAGGAUCCGAGCGUUAUCCGGAUUUAUUGGGUUUAAAGGGAGCGUAGGUGGAUUGUUAAGUCAGUUGUGAAAGUUUGCGGCUCAACCGUAAAAUUGCAGUUGAUACUGGCAGUCUUGAGUACAGUAGAGGUGGGCGGAAUUCGUGGUGUAGCGGUGAAAUGCUUAGAUAUCACGAAGACUCCGAUUGCGAAGGCAGCUCACUGGACUGCAACU